rnacentral:rRNA from 1 species
GACGAACGCUGGCGGCGUGCUUAACACAUGCAAGUCGAGCGGAAAGGCCCUUUCGGGGGUACUCGAGCGGCGAACGGGUGAGUAACACGUGAGUAAUCUGCCCUGCGCUCUGGGAUAGCCACCGGAAACGGUGAUUAAUACCGGAUAGGACCACUUCACGCAUGUGAUGGUGGUGGAAAGUUUUUUCGGCGCAGGAUGUGCUCGCGGCCUAUCAGCUUGUUGGUGAGGUAACGGCUCACCAAGGCUUUGACGGGUAACCGGCCUGAGAGGGUGACCGGUCACACUGGGACUGAGACACGGCCCAGACUCCUACGGGAGGCAGCAGUGGGGAAUAUUGGACAAUGGGCGGAAGCCUGAUCCAGCAACGCCGCGUGAGGGAUGACGGCCUUCGGGUUGUAAACCUCUUUCAGUACCGACGAAGCGAAAGUGACGGUAGGUACAGAAGAAGGACCGGCCAACUACGUGCCAGCAGCCGCGGUAAUACGUAGGGUCCGAGCGUUGUCCGGAAUUAUUGGGCGUAAAGGGCUCGUAGGCGGUUUGUCGCGUCGGGAGUGAAAACACCGGGCUUAACUCGGUGCUUGCUUUCGAUACGGGCAGACUAGAGGUAUGCAGGGGAGAAUGGAAUUCCUGGUGUAGCGGUGAAAUGCGCAGAUAUCAGGAGGAACACCGGUGGCGAAGGCGGUUCUCUGGGCAUUACCUGCACGCUGAGGAGCGAAAGUGUGGGGGGCG